rnacentral:lncRNA from 1 species
CUCAGGAUCUAGUCAACUAUAAAUUCCGUCAAAUCCUAAUACAUAUACUUGGGAUUCGGUCAAUCAUCAAUUCAUUUCAUUCUCUUCAUAAAGGUCUCUUAAUCGAAGGUGCCUCAAUCUUUAGCGGGUAAUUAACAAUAAAUGUUUGUAUUUAUUGAAAGUCAUGAAUCUGCAAUACUUGAUAUUUAUAUACAUAUAAUAUUAGUCUGAUCAUGAAUACUAUUUCACGAAAAAUUAAAUAAAAAAAAAUCGACAAUGCGAGAUGUGUCAUUCGUGAUGGCAGCCACAGAUGUACAU